AUUGAACGCUGGCGGCAGGCCUAACACAUGCAAGUCGAGCGGAUGAAGGGAGCUUGCUCCUGGAUUCAGCGGCGGACGGGUGAGUAAUGCCUAGGAAUCUGCCUGGUAGUGGGGGAUAACGUCCGGAAACGGGCGCUAAUACCGCAUACGUCCUGAGGGAGAAAGUGGGGGAUCUUCGGACCUCACGCUAUCAGAUGAGCCUAGGUCGGAUUAGCUAGUUGGUGGGGUAAAGGCCUACCAAGGCGACGAUCCGUAACUGGUCUGAGAGGAUGAUCAGUCACACUGGAACUGAGACACGGUCCAGACUCCUACGGGAGGCAGCAGUGGGGAAUAUUGGACAAUGGGCGAAAGCCUGAUCCAGCCAUGCCGCGUGUGUGAAGAAGGUCUUCGGAUCGUAAAGCACUUUAAGUUGGGAGGAACGGCAGUAAGUUAAUACCUUGCUGUUUUGACGGUACCAACAGAAUAAGCAACGGCUAACUUCGUG
rnacentral:rRNA from 1 species